rnacentral:lncRNA from 1 species
GCAGAAGUACUUUUGGACCUUCCAACGGCUAGUAACGGCUAGUUUUUCAAAUCUAACGAAUGAAAAGUGACCAAUAGAGAUUGGAAAGUAUUUAAGAGACACUAUUCAUCAGUGGAAAGUAUCUUUUGUAAAAAAUUAAUAGCAUAUUCAAAAGAAAACAAGCCCUAGUGCUCUUUAUCAAGGUUCUUUAUUCAAUCUCAAAAAGGAGGUGGUUGAGCAAUCUGAGUGUGCAUUCAACAGCUCCACCAACAUAUUAUGAAGUGAAGCAACCUUAGAAAAGAAGAGAAGAGCAUCCUCAAAGCGAUAACUAUUUUUCAUCUCUUCUCUUAGUGUAAAAUUGUUAUAUUUGCUCAUCUAGGAGUUUCAAAUUCUUUCUUCUUACUUACUCUUAUAAGAUUUAUUGGUGAGCCUGUAAAACCAACAGUGUAGGUUGUUGGUAAGCCCGCAAAACCAACAUAGGUUAUUGGUGAUCCCGAAAAAUCAAAGUGUAAAUAUUUUUGGAUUGUGAGCCCGAAAAACAAUCCAACUAUAAUCCGCGGAAUUAUAGUGAAUUCCCAAGGGGACGCUUGGGGAGUGGACGUAGGUGCUUAGGAGAGCACCGAACCACUAUACUUCUUGUGUGUUUGCAUUGUAUAUUGUUCUAACUUCACUACACACACUUAAUUAAUAUUAACUAAACUACUCACUCAUCAAUUGAUUUAAUUAAGGGAUUGAAAAAUUUAGAAAAACCAAUUCACCCCCUCA